AGAAAAUUCACAACAGAAGGAACUCCGGGGUAAAUUGUACUCCUAAAGCAGGAGGACAGAGAUGACUCACUCAAGCAAGAAAUGUUUCCUUUUUAAAGGAACAGAUGCCCAAUUUCCAACCAUUCAGAAGAGGUGUCUGUGUGACUGUUUAUGUCAGAAUUAAUCAUGUGCAUGGUCCUUAGUCCCAGGGAAGCUGAAAGACCUGGAGGUGUUGCCGAAGCUGCACGGACAUGGAGAGCUGGCUCCUGCCCAGCACACAGUGAGGACAGGUCUGCUUUGACUCAAAUCUCCAAGUGGUUUCCACCCUCUUGAAUCUCAAAUCCGAAAGCAGAUUUGGACCUGUAAGUGUCCCUAAGAAAGCCAAGAAGGACCCAACCUCAGCUCAACGGCAACACACCCUUCCCAUUCAUCUGAUGUGACACUCUUCAAAGAUAAACACCAACAGUGAAACCAGAAUCCCCUAAAUGUGCAUGCCUUUGUUGCCAACUUGGGAGAUUGUAUGUAACUAACACACGGGCCAGGGUAGUAUGGUUUGUGGAUUCGAUGGGGCCACUCCUUCCUCCUUGACUCUCUGGCAGCUGGCCUUGGCUACUGCCUUAGACUCCUCCUCCAGAGGGUGGCAAGGGAAAGGAAAAGAGAUUCCAUUCACAUCUAUCUCAUUCCUUUCUGGGCCUUGUAGGGAGAGACUCAAAGAGUUGUUUAAGACAAAGAUUUUAGCAGCUGGGGUUUUAAGUUUUUCUUUUGGUAUUGAAAUGAUUAGACAGUCAUGGGGCGUUUACAAUGACUGACCACAAUCUGUAUAUUCUGCAGCUUGUUGAUUGCUGAUGUCUACCCCUUCGGCUUUCUCAAACAAAACUACUGCAGACAAGAACCCAUACUACUGAUUUAGAAAGGAAGAAAUGGGUUCGUUGGUCUCUGAUUCCAAUAUUCAUGUCACCGACCUAGCUUUUCCAGAAUUUUCUUUUCUUUUUUUUCUUUUUUUUUGAAAUGGAGUCUUGCUCUGCUGCCAGGCUGGAGUGAAGUGGCGCAAUCCCAGCUCACUGCAACCUCUGCCUCCUGAGUUCAAGCGGUUCUUCUGCCUCAGCGUCCCGAGUGGCUGGGACCACAGGCAUGCGCCACCACACCUGGCUAAUUGUUGUAUUUUUAGUAGAGAUGGUGUUUCACCAUGUUGACCAGGAUGGUCUCUAUCUCUUGACCUCGUGAUCCGCCCACCUCGGCCUCCCAAAGUGCUGGGAUUACAGGCAUGAGCCACAGCACCCGGCCCCCCAGAAUUUUCUUAAAGGUUUGGACAUAGAAGAGGUGAGAAUCCUCAAUAGUCUUGAGGCACUAUGUGCCCAUACCCAAGAAAUGGGGCACUUCAAACCCUAAGGUUAAGUGUCAAGAACCACCUUUUUAAAUGUACUAAUUGUGGUAAAAUAUAUAUACCAUAAAAUUUACCAUUGUAACCAGCUUUAAAUGGCAUCAAGUACAUUCACGUUGUUAUACAACCAUUUCCACCACUGAGGAAUCACUUUUAAUGAUAUUGUAACAGUGCAUUUUUUAAGCACUGUGCAGUUUUAAAAGUUUUAAAGCAUUUUCCUCAUUUUAUCUCAUUAGAUUCUCACUGGUAGCAAUAUUUUUUGGUCUAAGGGGUGGAAGAGCAUGUGUCUUACAGACAGGAAGAUGUUAAGGAAACGAAAGCCCAGAAAAGCAAAGUGACUCUGAAGGGCCUACAUAGCUACUGAACCUACAUACCGCACUAGUGACUGUUUCUUAAAAAAAACAAAUAAAUAAGGCUAGAUUCAGUGACUCUGAGCACUUUGAGAGGCCAAAGUGGGAGGAUCACUUGAGCUCAGGAGUUCAAGACCAGCCUGGGCAAUAUAGUGUGUUUACCAAAAAUCAAAAAAAUUAGUUGGGGUGGUGGUGCAGUGGUGGCACACACCUGUGGUCCCAGCUACUCGAGGCUGAGGCAUGAAGAUUGCUAAAACCCAGGAGUUUGAGGCUGUAGUGAGCUAUGAUUCCAUCACAGCACUCCAGACAGGGUGACAGCCUGUUAAAAAAAAAAAAAAAAAAGCAAAUAUUGGGAGGGUUAUUCCUUGAAACAGAUAUUUCCUCCAUUAGGCUUCACUCCUCACUUUCUGUAAAGAAAAAUCCUUAUUUUUUUCUCCAUAAAAAGAGGAUUUUAAGAAUGUCUGUAGUAGUAACAAAACACAUUCACUAAAAAAUGAAUUAGCCAAUUAUUUCUUUCUUUGAAACUGUUAGUGAUGAUAACAGUACAUAUUCUUAGUAGAUCGAGAAGAUGAGUUUUAAAAUUAACUUUUGUGGUUUGCAACAUUAUGACCCAAAAUCUUAGUUUCUGAGAAAAUAAGUCAUCUCUCACCUGAUAUGACAUGUUGUUGUGGGGGACCAGAUAUUCUCUGAGUUUUCUUUUUCAAAAUAUACAGUUAAGAGUGAAGAGACAAACCGCAGAUUGGAAGAAAAUGUUUGCAAAACAAAAGACUGUUACCCAAAAGUAUACAAAGUACUCAAAGUUCUUUGCAUCACGGGUCAGCAAAUCAUGAGAUUAAGAGACCAAGACCACCCUGGCCAACAUGUUGAAACCCCUUCUCUACUAAAAAUACAAAAAUUAGCUGGGCAUGGUGGCACUUGCCUGUAGUCCCUGCUACUCAGGAGACUGAGGCAGGAGAAUUGCUUGAACCCAGUAAGCUGAGAUCAUGCCACUGCACUCCAGCCUGGCAACAGAGCGUGACUCCAUCUCAAAAAAAAAAAAAACCUCGACCAUACUGUUAUCCAAAAAUAUACAAAGAACGCUUAAGACUCAACAGUAAGAAAACAACCCAAUUGAAAAGUGGUCAAGAGCUUUAAACAGACACCUCACCAAAAAGAGAUACGGAUGGCAAAUAAGCAUAUGAAAAGAUGUUCAACAUCAUAUGUCAUUAGGGAAUUGCAAAAUAAAACAACAAGAGAUACCACUACUUAUCGGCCAAAAUUACUAAAAUCCAAAACACUGACACCACCAAACAUUGGCAAGGAUAUGAAGUAACAGGAACUCUCAUUCACUGCUUGUGGAAAUGAAAACUCAUACAGACACUUUGGAAGAAGUUAGCUUUUUGAUGUGGUUGUUGAGGUGAAGUCUCACUCUGUUUCCCAGGCUGGAGUGCAGUCAUGGGAGUGACCUCGGCUCACUGCAGCCUCUGCCUACCAGGUUCAAGUGAUUCUCCUGCCUCAGCCUCCCAAGUUGCUGGGACUACAGGCAUGUGCCAUCACACAGGCUAAUUUUUGUAUUUUUAGUAGAGACUGGGUUUCUCCAUGUUGGUCAAGCCGGUCUUGAACUCCUGACUUCAAGUAAUUCACUCGCCUUCACCUCCCAAAGUGCCGGGAUUACAGGUGUGAGUCACUGCACGCAGCCUUUCUUUUUUUGAGACAGUCUCACUCUUGCUCAGGCUGGAGUGCAGUGGCGAAAUCUUGGCUCAGUGCAACCAACGUCUGCCUCCCAGGUUCAAGCAAUUCUCUUGCCUCAGCUUCCCGAGUAGCUAGUAUUACAGGCAUGCGCCACCACACCCAGCUCAUUUUUGUAUUUUUUUUUUUUUAGUAGAGAUGGGGUUUCAUCAUGUUGGCCAGGCUGGUCUUAAACUCCUGACCUCAGGUGAUCCCGCCUUGGCCUCCCAAAGUGCUGGGAUUACAGGCAUGAGCCACCACGCCUGGCCAAAGCAUAUGCUUACCGCAAGAUCCAGCAAUCACAUUUCUAGAUAUUUACCCAAAUUAGUUGAAAACUUAUGCUCAUGCAAAAACCUGCACCCGAAUGUUUAUACCACUUUAUUUGUAAUUCAUAACUGCCAAAAGUUGGAAGCAACCAAGAUGUCCCUCAAUAAAUGAAUGGAUGAACUAUGGCACAUCCAUACCAUAGAUUAUUAUUCAGCAAUAAAAAGAAAUGAGCUAUCAAACCAUGAAAAGACAUGGAAGAGCCUUAAAUGAAUAUUACUACGUGAAAGAAGCCAGUCUGGAAAGGCUACAUACUGUAUGAGUCCAACCAUGUGACAUUCUGAAAAAAACUAUAGUAACAGUAAAAAGAUCAGUGGUUGCUAGGGACUCAGGGCAGGAAGGGUGAGAUGUCCAGCACAGGGGAUUUUUGGGGAAGUGAAAUUAUUCUGUAUAAUAUUGUAAUGGUUCUACAUGGCAUUAUUUUUUUGGCAAAACCAAUAAGAUGUACAACACCAAAAGUGAACCCUAAUGGAAACCAUGGGACUUCAGUUCAGAAUAACUUAUUGAUGGGAUUCAGGACAUGCUACCAUAAAAUAUGGCACCAUGACUGAUAGUGUUUGGAUUUGUUGUCCCCACCCAAAUUCAUGUCCACUUGUAAUUCCCAAUGUUGGAGGUGGGGCCUGAUGGGAGGUAACUGGAUCAUGGGGAUGGUUUCAAUAGUUUAGUACCAUCCCCCUAGUGCUGUUCGUAUGAUAGAGUUCUCACAAUAUCUGGUUGUUUAAAAAUGUGUGGCACUGGCCGGGCGCGGUGGCUCAAGCCUGUAAUCCCAGCAUUUGGGAGGCCGAGGUGGGUGGAUCACGAGGUCAAGAUAUCGAGACCAUCCUGGUCAACAUGGUGAAACCCCGUCUCUACUAAAGAUACAAAAAAUUAGCUGGGCAUGGUGGCGCUUGCCUGUAAUCCCAGCUAAUCGGGAACCUGAGGCAGGAGAAUUGCCUGAACCCAGGAGGCGGAGGUUGCGAUGAGCCAAGAUCGUGCCAUUGCACUCCAGCCUGGGUAACAAGAGCGAAACUCCGUCUCAAAAAAAAAAAAAAAAUGUGUGGCACUGGCCAGGCACAGUGACUUAUGCCUGUCAUCCCAGCACUCUGGGAGCCAAGGUGGGUGGAUCACCUGACAUCGGGAGUUCAAGACCAGACUGACCAACAUGGUGAAACCCCGUCUCUACUAAAAAUACAAAAAGUAGUCGGGCGUGGUGGCAAGUGCCUGUAAUCCCAGCUACUUGGGAGGCUGAGGCAGGAGAAUUGCUUGAACCUGGGAGGCGGAGAUUUCGGAGAGCUGAGAUUGUGCCAUUGCACUCCAGCCUGGGCGACAGAGAGACUCCGUCUCAAAAAAAAAAAAAAAAAAGAAAGAAAAAUUUGUGGCACCUCCCUGUUCUCCUGCUUCCUCCUGCUCCGACCCAGAUGUCUCGCCUCGCUCCCCGUUUGUCUUCCACCAUAAUUGUAAGUUUCCUGAGACCUCUCCAGAAGCCCAGCAGACGCCGGCCGGCAUCAUGCUUCGUCUACAGUCUGUGGAACUAUGAGCCAAUUAAACUUCUUUUCUUUAUAAAUUA